rnacentral:lncRNA from 1 species
GGUGAUGUUGUAUUUGCAAUAUAAUAGCGAAGGGCAGAUAGGAUUGAAUAGCCAAAAUACUCUAUUCUAAGCUUUUAAUUUGAUAACUAACUGUUUUAUGAGCAAACCAAAAACAUGCAAUAUACAUUGAGAAAUUUUGGUAAAUAAAAUUGAAGAUUCGAAUGACAAGAAAUGACCUUAUAACAUUAUACGUUAUAACAUCCAUACGAUAAAAAAUUAUUUCUU